CCCUUAGAUGUUCUGGGCUGCACGCGUGCUACACUGAUAUUGCCAAUAUGUCAUUCUUAUCCGAAAUGGAUUGGGUAAUCAAGUAAUGAAAUUUCAUGCUUGGAAUCGGUAAUUGCAAUUUUAUCGUGAACGAGGAAUUCCUAGUAAGCACUAGUCAUCAGCUAAAGUUGAUUAUGUCCCUGCCCUUUGUACACACCGCCCGUCGCUACUACUGAUUGGGUGUUCAAGUGAGAUGCUUAGACCCUUGUUGCAUGGUUCAUUAUUGUGCUCCGAAAGGAAAAAGUUUCAAGCUUGAGUGUCUAGAGGAAGUAAAAGUCGUAACA
rnacentral:rRNA from 1 species